rnacentral:lncRNA from 1 species
GAGAGAAAAGUAGUACAUGCUGAGCAGAGAAGACAGGGCUCUGACCCCUGCACCUCAUCUUUACUGGAGAUAGACAAUUGUAAGGUUGUCUUUCCUUUCUAAAUUUCAGGGUGGAAAAGGAAUGAGGAGAUGAGCAUGGCUUAAAGGUGACCAAAAAGGGAACUGGUGGCCUGGAGAUCCUGGCCAGAUGAGGAAACUGAGAGCCAGAAGGGCUAAAUUCUCCAUCUGCCCUGGGUGACACAAUCAUGGAGUGGCAGAGCCAUCAUUUGAACACAAGUUCCAUGACUACUGAAAGCAGCACACUGUAGCCCAAGAUGACAUCACAGUUGCCAAGGGAGGAGAAGAAAGGAGAAGAGGAAAGAAGAGGUGGAAAAAAGACACUAUAGAAGGGAAGAAAGUAGAAGAGCCAAGGAAAAAUAAAAAAAAUGAAGAGGAAAGAGGAGUAAUAUAUUUUCAGAUGAUUCAAUUUAAGGUGGAAGGGCUCACAGGAUCCAACUGCUCCAACCCACUUCUUGGACAGAAAAGGCAGCUGAAGGCUGGAAAAGUUUACUGACUGCCAAAAGUUCCCACAGAUGAGGAAACUGAGAGCCAGAAGGGCUAAGGUCUCCAUCUGCCCUGGGUCUCUCAAUCAAUGGAGUGGCAGAACCAUCAUUUGAACACAGGUUCCAUGAAUGGUAAAGGCAGCACAGGGUCACCCAGGAUGACAUCACUGUUGUCAAGGUUUCUGGAAUGUUCCCACUAAUUGAGAUGAAAGGGAGGAGAGUAAAGAAUAAGGGGUCUGGGUGGAGGAGGAAAGUAGGGAAAGGGAGGAAUUAGGAGGGGUCAAAGAGAAAUUAAAAUAUAUGAAGAGGAAAUGGGAGGAGUAGAUUCUCAGAUGAUCCAAUUUAAGGUGGAAGGGCUCUCAGGGUCCAACUGCUCCAACCCUCUCCUUGGACAGAAAAGGCAGCUCAAGGCCAGAAAAGUUCACUGAUUG